rnacentral:rRNA from 1 species
CCUACGGGAGGCAGCAGUGAGGAAUAUUGGUCAAUGGACGAGAGUCUGAACCAGCCAAGUAGCGUGAAGGAUGACUGCCCUAUGGGUUGUAAACUUCUUUUAUAAAGGAAUAAAACGAGGCACGUGUGCCUUUUUGCAUGUACUUUAUGCAUAAGGAUCGGCUAACUCCGUGCCAGCAGCCGCGGUAAUACGGAGGAUCCGAGCGUUAUCCGGAUUUAUUUGGUUUAAAGGGAGCGUAGAUGGGUUGUUAAGUCAGUUGUGAAAGUUUGCGGCUCAACCGUAAAAUUGCAAUUGAUACUGGCAGUCUUGAGUACAGUUGAGGUAGGCGGAAUUCGUGGUGUAGCGGUGAAAUGCUUAGAUAUCACGAAGAACCCCGAUUGCGAAGGCAGCUUACUAAACUGUGACUGACAUUGAGGCUCGAAAGUGUGGGUAUCAAACAGGAUUAGAUACCCUUGUAGUC